GCUGACAACGAUACGUAACGAACGAAAGCAGACAAUAUCUACUGGUGGUGGGUUUGAGCUGUUACAAAGCAUGUUGAAAGGACUUGGGCUUGUUUACAAGUGAUGAUAAAGCAUGUCAUACGACACAUUCAGAUUGCUAGAGAAGCAGGGAAUUGGGAGUAUUGGAGCUAUCAAGUGCAGAAUCUUGGGUUGGGGACUUCGACUUGUUUGAUGGUCGUGCUGAUAUCUUUGACUUCCUUCUCAGAGGGCUGAGUUUAUAUAUCUUGAAGGACAGUAAUAAUAGUAAGAAGGCUUCAUAUCCUCAAAAUGCCCAGAUGAUUUGAUUUUCCCCAUUUCGAAUACUCUUCAUCCCAUCAUAUUUGCCUUGGCAUGGUAUUGGAACCUUUAGUCACUUCCCUUCAUUUAUUGUUGGGAAACGAACAUCAGAAUUCCCUUUUGGCAUGGAGGAAAAGACUAUGAUGCUUCACUGCGAGUUCGACUAACUAGUUAAGGGACAAGUUGCGAAACUAGGUAUCGUUGAAGUCAUGAGAUCAAAUUAUGGUAGCUAUUUAUGUAGUAUACUAACAGUUCCGAGUUUUGGAUGCCAAAUGUUAAAGGCGUGGAUGUCACAUAACAUCCAUAGAACCACAUGUGAGGUAGGCCAAACACUUGUUCAUACCUGGGAAAAGUGAAGUAACUUUAAUAUGUUGUCCGCUUGGAGGCAGUGCUUUUAUUUGAACUCUUUCUAUGGCCUUGACUGACUGAUGUGAGUACAAAGUUUCUUUCUGUUGAACUGAUAUAUAUUUGCCAAAAUAUUAGCGGAAGAGGGCAACGAAACAUUUCUUAUAAGGGUGUGGAAACCUCUCCCUAGUAGACGCAUUCUAAAAUCGUGAGCCUGACGGCGCUACGUAGCG